rnacentral:lncRNA from 1 species
ACUUGUCCCGGUGCUUGGAUUGCAGCACAUGGGCCAGCUCGCGCAGGUGGCCCCGGUGCCGCUGUUCAUCGGGCCGCGCGGGGAAGGCGGCGGCCAAGAUGCGCUCCGUCACGUAGGUGAGGUCUAAGUCCCAGCGCCGCUCCAUGAGCGGGUCCAGGCUGAAGCUCCUGGGGAGGAGGAGCCUACGCAUGAACGCAGGGGCGGGGCACCCGGAGGUGGCUAGUGUGACGGGAAGGCUGUCUGUUGGGCAGCAGGUGAAGCCUGCUGGGUCCUGAGGGUGGGUGGAUCGGUCUGGAGGGAGAAUACCGCUUUGGGGGUGGGGGGCUGUCCCGGGGAGCUCUGUUGCGGGGCAGUGCCCUGGGCUGAGGUGUGGGGCCGGCGGAAAGGGGGUCACGUGGGACCACCCCAGCACCCUCACUUACCUGGGCAGAGUGCUGCGCUGCUUUGAGUGGUUCAGAGAUUUGGUGGAUCCCUGGUGGUUAACAGACAGUGUCUAGACAUCUCUUUGGGUACCCCCUACUCUAGACUGCCCACUCCAGAGCCAUGCCCUUUUUGUCUUCAGGAAAUCUAGAUCCUUACUCCCAAAGCUACCUGCUUCCCCCUCCUGCUCCAGCAUCACCUUACCAGGUGCUCUAUGCGCCUGACUGGGGCCGUGUUUCGCCGCUAGAGGGAGAUGGGGGAGGAAAAGGGAGUGGUUAGUUACAGCAGGGGCAAGGACCAAUGUGGGCCUUGGGGACAGGGGAAGGGAAUGUCAGUGUCCUUUUGAAGGCUGUACUGGAUAAGGGGAGAGGAGUCCUACCCCCAGCAGGCCCAAGGGCACAAGAUCAGCAGAGGACUCAGACAGUUUUUUCUUUCCUCAUAGGAUGAGCAAUACCCACAGCACUCCGUUCAAGGUCAUCUCCUGGGGGCCCUCUCUGGAGCCACCAGACCUCUGGACACCAUGGCCAGGUUCCUUGCCCUCCCCACCCCAUCCCAGAGCGCACUCACCAACUCCACGGGAGGCAAGGCCUGACAGGCUGAAGUCACCUGGAAGGGGACCGAUGCCUGGUACUGGAUAGGAACUUCAUGGAAUGGAGCUAAUGGGCCGUAGGGCAGGUUUGAGUCGUGCCACCCUGGAGCAGAAGGUGGAGGGUAGGGAUAAGGGGGUGGAGCACCUGAUUCCAAUCUUGCCACAGGGAAGAAGAGUCUGUGAAGAAGGUGGAGAGAAACUAGGAGAAAAGCACAGGAUGUAGAGGUCUAUUCGGCAUAAUCUUCUCCCUCAUUUUCAUCUUCACCAUCAACAGAGAGAGCAGCAUACUUGCUUGCAGAACUGAACUUCUGUAACACAACGAGAGUGACAGGAUAAUGAAGGCCCUGAAUUAUCACAUCAAAACCCAAGACACAGGAUACUGAUCCUUUGGCAAUGGGGGAUGACAGUCAGAUGACACCCACUUGCUUGCUCAUCAGCAUUGUCCAUUGGAGAGGAGCUAGGGAAGAGGGUCAGAGGCACAUGCGAUCUUACUAUAGUCUCAUACCACCUCUACACCUUGCAGAAGGGAUGAGAACAAAGGAAGACAGAAACCAGGAAAAAGCUAAACUUCUUUCGCUAUUUCAGUAAAGACCAAUGUCUUAUUUCCAAACACUUUGUAUUCCAAA